GACGAACGCUGGCGGCGUGCCUAAUACAUGCAAGUAGAACGCUGAAGGAGGAGCUUGCUCUUCUGGAUGAGUUGCGAACGGGUGAGUAACGCGUAGGUAACCUGCCCGGCAUCGGGGGGUAACUAUUGGAAACGAUAGCUAAUACCGCAUAAGAGUCGAUGUUGCAUGACAUUUGCUUAAAAGUUGCAAUUGCAUCACUACCAGAUGGACCUGCGGUGUUUUAGCUUGUUGGGGGGGUAACGGCACACCAAGGCGACGAUACAUAGCCGGGCUGAGAGGGUGGUCGGCCACACUUGGACUGGGACACGGCCCAAGCUCCUUCGGGGGGCAGCAGUAGGGGAACUUCGGACAUGGAGGGAAGUCUGGACGAACAACGCCGGGUGAGUGAAGAAGGGCUUCGGAUCGGAAAGCUCUGUUGUAAGGGAAGAAAGAGUGUGAGGGUGGAAAGUUCACGCUGUGACGGUAUCUUACCAGAAAGGAACGGCUAACUACGUG
rnacentral:rRNA from 1 species